GGGUUGUGAGGUUAAGCGACUAAGCGUACACGGUGGAUGCCCUGGCAGUCAGAGGCGAUGAAGGACGUGCUAAUCUGCGAAAAGCGUCGGUAAGGUGAUAUGAACCGUUAUAGCCGGCGAUGUCCGAAUGGGGAAACCCAGUGCAAUUCGUUGCACUAUCGUUAACUGAAUACAUAGGUUAACGAGGCGAACCGGGGGAACUGAAACAUCUAAGUACCCCGAGGAAAAGAAAUCAACCGAGAUUCCCCCAGUAGCGGCGAGCGAACGGGGAGCAGCCCAGAGUCUGAAUCAGCUUGUGUGUUAGUGGAACGGUCUGGAAAGUCCGACGGUACAGGGUGAUAGUCCCGUACACCAAAAUGCACAGGCUGUGAACUCGAAGAGUAGGGCGGGACACGUGGUAUCCUGUCUGAAUAUGGGGGGACCAUCCUCCAAGGCUAAAUACUCCUGACUGACCGAUAGUGAACCAGUACCGUGAGGGAAAGGCGAAAAGAACCCCGGCGAGGGGAGUGAAAAAGAACCUGAAACCGUGUACGUACAAGCAGUGGGAGCACCUUCGGGUGUGACUGCGUACCUUUUGUAUAAUGGGUCAGCGACUUAUAUUCUGUAGCAAGGUUAACCGUAUAGGGGAGCCGCAGGGAAACCGAGUCUUAACUGGGCGUUAAGUUGCAGGGUAUAGACCCGAAACCCGGUGAUCUAGCCAUGGGCAGGUUGAAGGUUGGGUAACACUAACUGGAGGACCGAACCGACUAAUGUUGAAAAAUUAGCGGAUGACUUGUGGCUGGGGGUGAAAGGCCAAUCAAACCGGGAGAUAGCUGGUUCUCCCCGAAAGCUAUUUAGGUAGCGCCUCGUGAACUCAUCUUCGGGGGUAGAGCACUGUUUCGGCUAGGGGGUCAUCCCGACUUACCAACCCGAUGCAAACUACGAAUACCGAAGAAUGUUAUCACGGGAGACACACGGCGGGUGCUAACGUCCGUCGUGAAGAGGGAAACAACCCAGACCGCCAGCUAAGGUCCCAAAGUCAUGGUUAAGUGGGAAACGAUGUGGGAAGGCACAGACAGCCAGGAUGUUGGCUUAGAAGCAGCCAUCAUUUAAAGAAAGCGUAAUAGCUCACUGGUCGAGUCGGCCUGCGCGGAAGAUGUAACGGGGCUAAACCAUGCACCGAAGCUGCGGCAGCGACACUAUGUGUUGUUGGGUAGGGGAGCGUUCUGUAAGCCUGCGAAGGUGUGCUGUGAGGCAUGCUGGAGGUAUCAGAAGUGCGAAUGCUGACAUAAGUAACGAUAAAGCGGGUGAAAAGCCCGCUCGCCGGAAGACCAAGGGUUCCUGUCCAACGUUAAUCGGGGCAGGGUGAGUCGACCCCUAAGGCGAGGCCGAAAGGCGUAGUCGAUGGGAAACAGGUUAAUAUUCCUGUACUUGGUGUUACUGCGAAGGGGGGACGGAGAAGGCUAUGUUAGCCGGGCGACGGUUGUCCCGGUUUAAGCAUGUAGGCUGGUUGUCCAGGCAAAUCCGGAUAAUCAAGGCUGAGGUGUGAUGACGAGGCACUACGGUGCUGAAGUAACAAAUGCCCUGCUUCCAGGAAAAGCCUCUAAGCAUCAGGUAACAUCAAAUCGUACCCCAAACCGACACAGGUGGUCAGGUAGAGAAUACCAAGGCGCUUGAGAGAACUCGGGUGAAGGAACUAGGCAAAAUGGUGCCGUAACUUCGGGAGAAGGCACGCUGGUGUGUAGGUGAAGUCCCUGCGGAUGGAGCUGAGACCAGUCGAAGAUACCAGCUGGCUGCAACUGUUUAUUAAAAACACAGCACUGUGCAAACACGAAAGUGGACGUAUACGGUGUGACGCCUGCCCGGUGCCGGAAGGUUAAUUGAUGGGGUUAUCCGUAAGGAGAAGCUCUUGAUCGAAGCCCCGGUAAACGGCGGCCGUAACUAUAACGGUCCUAAGGUAGCGAAAUUCCUUGUCGGGUAAGUUCCGACCUGCACGAAUGGCGUAAUGAUGGCCAGGCUGUCUCCACCCGAGACUCAGUGAAAUUGAACUCGCUGUGAAGAUGCAGUGUACCCGCGGCAAGACGGAAAGACCCCGUGAACCUUUACUAUAGCUUGACACUGAACAUUGAGCCUUGAUGUGUAGGAUAGGUGGGAGGCUUUGAAGCGUGGACGCCAGUCUGCGUGGAGCCAACCUUGAAAUACCACCCUUUAAUGUUUGAUGUUCUAACGUUGGCCCCUGACCGGGGUUGCGGACAGUGUCUGGUGGGUAGUUUGACUGGGGCGGUCUCCUCCCAAAGCGUAACGGAGGAGCACGAAGGUUAGCUAAUCCUGGUCGGACAUCAGGAGGUUAGUGCAAUGGCAUAAGCUAGCUUGACUGCGAGCGUGACGGCGCGAGCAGGUGCGAAAGCAGGUCAUAGUGAUCCGGUGGUUCUGAAUGGAAGGGCCAUCGCUCAACGGAUAAAAGGUACUCCGGGGAUAACAGGCUGAUACCGCCCAAGAGUUCAUAUCGACGGCGGUGUUUGGCACCUCGAUGUCGGCUCAUCACAUCCUGGGGCUGAAGUAGGUCCCAAGGGUAUGGCUGUUCGCCAUUUAAAGUGGUACGCGAGCUGGGUUUAGAACGUCGUGAGACAGUUCGGUCCCUAUCUGCCGUGGGCGCUGGAGAAUUGAGGGGGGCUGCUCCUAGUACGAGAGGACCGGAGUGGACGCAUCACUGGUGUUCGGGUUGUCAUGCCAAUGGCACUGCCCGGUAGCUAAAUGCGGAAGAGAUAAGUGCUGAAAGCAUCUAAGCACGAAACUUGCCCCGAGAUGAGUUCUCCCUGAGACUUUAAGUCUCCUGAAGGAACGUUGAAGACGACGACGUUGAUAGGCCGGGUGUGUAAGCGCAGCGAUGCGUUGAGCUAACCGGUACUAAUGAACCGUGAGGCUUAACCUUACAACGCCGAAG
rnacentral:rRNA from 1 species